GGUCUUGGACUGAAUAAGAAAGUUCAGUUAAGAAUGAGCCAGCAUGCAGCAUUCUUCCAUGGUUUCUGGUUCAAGCUUCUGGUUCAGUUCCUGCCCUAAUUCUCCUCUGUGAUGAACUGUGAGCCGGAAGUGUAAGCCAAGAAGCCCCUUCCUGCUUUUGGUCGGAGUGUUUUAUCAUAGCAACGGGGGAUUCCUGUUUCCUGUCUGUGCGUUUCCAUGCGGUUGUCUCUGUCCUCCCCAUUGCACGAAGCAAAAAUACCGGUCCGAAGAAGAGACCGAGACACAAGAAAGACCUUCUGAGGAGCCCGGCCAGCUGUGUUCUGCAUGACCGAAUCUGACACCUCUCACUUCCUCCACAAGCGGAACUUGGUGUUUGGAUGACGCUCGAGACAGGUCGUUUGUGCAAAACAGCAAACCCCACCUUCGGUUUUUCAACCCCAACCCAAGACCUAAAAAAAGAAAAGAAACAAAAGAAGAGCAAUGUGUCAUAGGAGCUGGGCUUCGGGCACAGACCUCUCCAGAGCGCCCGUGGAGGGAGGACUCCUUCGACCCAUGACCCUGUCUAUGUGACUUGGAAUCUCCUUAGCACCUCUGAGGUCCUGGUUCUUCAGGCUUGAAGGGUCAAUGUCAUGCCUCUUUCUGUGACAAACACUGGAGCAGUACCCAGCAGAUAAUGGUGAACUUGUCUCUUCCUGAGUGCCCAGGAUGAUGUAGCCACUGGCUCUGUUGCAGGGCAGGAAAACCCCCCACAGGACAGAUUGGCCAAUGGCUUGUGCUCUCUCCCACUCUUCGAAGUUUCUGCCAAGAAAGACUGUUGCAGCCUUUGCUGACACCUGGGCUGCGUUUCCUCACAGUGAGGCUGGCUCA